rnacentral:misc_RNA from 1 species
GUUGGUGAACCAGCGGAGGGAUCAUUACAGAGUUGCAAAGCUCCCUAAACCAUCGCGAACGUACCUAUAUCGUUGCCUCGGCAGGCGGCUCCAGGGCGGAGCCGCAGCCCUCACGGGCGCCUGCCGGCGGCCCAACAACUCUCUAUAUUCGUCGGUCUCUCUGAGUAUGACAUACAAAUAAGUUAAAACUUUCAACAACGGAUCUCUUGGUUCUG